GGCAACAUGGCCGAGUGGUCUAAGGCGCUGGAAUUAGGUCCCGUACAUACAUCCAGUCCGAAAGGGCGUGGGUUCGAACCCCACUGUUGUCA